GAUGAACGCUGGCGGCGUGCCUAACACAUGCAAGUCGAACGGACUUACAUUGAAGCCUAGCGAUAUGUAAGUUAGUGGCGGACGGGUGAGUAACGCGUGGGUAACCUGCCUUGUACUGGGGGACAACAGUUGGAAACGACUGCUAAUACCGCAUAAGCGCACAGCUUCGCAUGGAGCAGUGUGAAAAACUCCGGUGGUACAAGAUGGACCCGCGUCUGAUUAGCUGGUUGGUGAGGUAACGGCCCACCAAGGCGACGAUCAGUAGCCGGCCUGAGAGGGUGAACGGCCACAUUGGGACUGAGACACGGCCCAAACUCCUACGGGAGGCAGCAGUGGGGAAUAUUGCACAAUGGGGGAAACCCUGAUGCAGCAACGCCGCGUGAGUGAAGAAGUAUUUCGGUAUGUAAAGCUCUAUCAGCAGGAAAGAAAAUGACGGUAC
rnacentral:rRNA from 1 species